rnacentral:tRNA from 1 species
GACGCCGUGGCUGAACGGCAAGGCGCUCGGCUGCAAACCGAGUAAUCACCGGUUCAACUCCGGUCGGCGUCUCCA